UGGUUGGAGAAAUUGAUGUUUUGUGUGUUUGAAUUUGAGAAUUGCUUUUUUUUUCAGGUUUUGAUAAGAAUUCAACCGCUGAGUGCGACGGAGAAGGUUGUGCAAGGACAUGAAAGGUGCUUGAAGCUGGAAAGUGCACAAACUUUGGUGUGGCUUAGUCACCGGGUGUAAGACUUUAUCCCAGGUUUUAUGUUAUUUUGGUGUUUGGAGUUGGCUUCGGGUUCUAGUGGUGACUGGUGAGGAAAGAAGUUGAGACUGUGACUGCUUUCAUUGUGUAUGGUAUUCUUUUCGGCCAGAAAUUUUCCUCAAGGAACAAUAAGUGACAUGGUAAAUGAUGCUUCUCAAGGAAUCUCUUUUAUCAUCAAUAACAUAGCUAAUUGUGUCUUUGUGCUUGCAAUAAGUAAAAACAAAAAAGAAAAAAGAAAAAAAGAACUAGAUAUGAGUAUCAAGUGUUACCAAUGAUGGAUUUUAUAUUUGUAUGUGAGGCUUUGUUUUUGGU